rnacentral:rRNA from 1 species
CCUGCAUGAAGUCGGAAUUGCUAGUAAUCGCAGAUCAGCAUGCUGCGGUGAAUACGUUCCCGGGCCUUGUACACACCGCCCGUCACACCAUGGGAGUCGGUAACACCCGAAGCCUGUAGUCUAACCGCAAGGAGGACGCAGUCGAAGGUGGGAUUGAUGACUGGGGUGAAGUCGUAACAAGGUAAC